rnacentral:tRNA from 1 species
AUUUUUAUAGUGUAUACAACACAUAACAUUUUCAUUGUUAAAACGCAUUAAGCUAAAAAUA